UACAGAGGGGGCAAGCGUUGUUCGGAAUUACUGGGCGUAAAGGGUGCGUAGGCGGCCUUCUAAGUCGAACGUGAAAUCCCCGGGCUCAACCCGGGAACUGCGUCCGAUACUGGAUGGCUUGAGUUUGGGAGAGGGAUGCGGAAUUCCAGGUGUAGCGGUGAAAUGCGUAGAUAUCUGGAGGAACACCGGUGGCGAAGGCGGCAUCCUGGACCAACACUGACGCUGAGUGAGCGAAAGCCAGGGGAGCAAACGGG
rnacentral:rRNA from 1 species